UGUGCACUGGUGGGGUCCCUCAGCCUGGCCUGUGCGCUCUUGCAAUCUGGGAUCCCUCUGGGGAUGUCAGACUGCUGGUUUUGGCCCGAUCCCCACAGGCCAGGCUGAGGGGCCCCACCGGUGCACA
rnacentral:pre_miRNA from 1 species